rnacentral:rRNA from 1 species
GACGAGCCGUGCGAACGUUAUUCGGAAUCACUGGGCUUAAAGCGCGUGUAGGCGGGUCGGCACGUCGGUCGCUGAAAUCCCCCGGCUCAACCGGGGAACGGGCCCCGAUACGACCGACCUGGAGGGGGGUAGGGGGAGCCGGAACUUCCGGUGGAGCGGUGAAAUGCGUUGAGAUCGGAAGGAACGCCCGUGGCGAAAGCGGGCUCCUGGACCCCACCUGACGCUGAGACGCGAAAGCCAGGGGAGCGAACGGG